GACGAACGCUGGCGGCGUGCCUAAUACAUGCAAGUAGAACGCAGUUGCGAACGGGUGAGUAACGCGUAGGUACCUGCCUCAAAGCGGGGGAUAACUAUGGGAAACGAUAGCUAAUACCGAAUACCGUGAGAAGGACCUGCGUUGUCUUAGCUAGUUGGUGAGGUAAAGGGUUACCAAGGCGACGAUACAUACACGACCUGAGAGGGUGUUCGGCCACCCUGGGACUGGAGCACGGGCCCAGCUCCUACGGGAGGCAGCAGUUGGGGAUCUUUGGGAAAUGGCGGAAGGCUUGCCGAGGCACGCCGCGUGAGUGGAGGAGGUUUUCGGGUCGUGAAGCUCUGGUGGUUGGGAAGCGGUAUCUAACCAGAAAGGCACGGCUAACUACGUGCCAGCAGCCGCGGUAAUUC
rnacentral:rRNA from 1 species